rnacentral:tmRNA from 1 species
GGGGGCGACCUGGCUUCGACGUGGGUAGCAAAACCUCGAGUGCAUGCCGAGGACAGUACAUCUCGUAAAAUAUACUGAUAUUUAAAGUAUUCGCAAACGACGAAAACUACUCAGUGGCUUUAGCAGCUUAAAACCUGCACCACUCCUCUGACUACAUGUGCUUAUGCGUGUAGGUUCUUCGGAACAUUCAGGGGUCAUCUGACAUAAGAUCGCGCCAAGGCUUUGUUCGGAGCCAACAGCGUUAAAACCAAUCGAAAUCGCCGCUGAUCUUCCUGGCCCGUCGGGUAGUCAACGGUUAAAUUAAAAGUGCGGGAUAAGCAUGUAGACCUUGUGGCGGAGUACUUGCGGACGCGGGUUCAAUUCCCGCCGCCUCCACCA